rnacentral:snRNA from 1 species
AGCUUUGGCAGUGGCAGUAUCAUAGCCAGUGGGGUUUAUCUGAGGUGCAAUUAUUACUAAUUGAAAACUUUUUCCAAAACACCUCAGUGACAACUUGAAAUAUAGUCAACAUUGGCAAUUUUUAACAGUCUCUAUGGAUA